UUAAAUAGCCGCAGUAUUUUGACUGUGCGAAGGUAGCAUAAUCAUUUGUCUUUUAAUUGAAGGCUUGUAUGAAUGGUCGGAUGAGAGAGCGUCUUUCUUUGUGUUAUUAUAUUGAAUUUAAUUUUUGGGUUAAAAAGCUUAAAUUUUUAAGUGGGACGAGAAGACCCUAUAGAAUUUUAUUUAUGAUAUGGGCUUUAUUAGUUGGGUAAAUUACUCUUGAGGCCUUUUUAUAAAUUUUGUUGGGGUGACAGUGGGAUUUACUAAACUCUCAUAAUUGAUAUUUUAUUGAUUUAUAUAUUAAAGAUCCUUUAUUAAGGAUAAUUAGAUUAAAUUACCUUAGGGAUAACAGCGUAAUUCUUUUGGAGAGUUCUUAUCGAUAAAGGAGUUUGCGACCUCGAUGUUGGAUUAAAAUUAGAUUUAAGUGUAGCAGCUUAAUUUCUAGGUCUGUUCGACCUUUAAUAUUUUACAUGAUCUGAGUUCAAACCG
rnacentral:rRNA from 1 species